AACGAACGCUGGCGGCAUGCUUUACACAUGCAAGUCGAACGGCAGCACGGACUUCGGUCUGGUGGCGAGUGGCGAACGGGUGAGUAAUACAUCGGAACGUGCCCAGUUGUGGGGGAUAACUACUCGAAAGAGUAGCUAAUACCGCAUGAGAACUGAGGUUGAAAGCAGGGGAUCGUAAGACCUUGCGCAACUGGAGCGGCCGAUGGCAGAUUAGGUAGUUGGUGGGAUAAAAGCUUACCAAGCCGACGAUCUGUAGCUGGUCUGAGAGGACGACCAGCCACACUGGGACUGAGACACGGCCCAGACUCCUACGGGAGGCAGCAGUGGGGAAUUUUGGACAAUGGGCGAAAGCCUGAUCCAGCAAUGCCGCGUGCAGGAUGAAGGCCCUCGGGUUGUAAACUGCUUUUGUACGGAACGAAAAGCUUCGGGUUAAUACCCUGGAGUCAUGACGGUACCGUAAGAAUAAGCACCGGCUAACUACGUGCCAGCAGCAGCCGCAG
rnacentral:rRNA from 1 species